AUUGAACGCUGGCGGCAUGCCUUACACAUGCAAGUCGAACGGCAGCGCGGACUUCGGUCUGGCGGCGAGUGGCGAACGGGUGAGUAAUACAUCGGAACGUACCCUGUUGUGGGGGAUAACUAGUCGAAAGAUUAGCUAAUACCGCAUACGACCUGAGGGUGAAAGUGGGGGAUCGCAAGGCCUCACGCAGCAGGAGCGGCCGAUGUCUGAUUAGCUAGUUGGUGGGGUAAAGGCCCACCAAGGCGACGAUCAGUAGCUGGUCUGAGAGGACGAUCAGCCACACUGGGACUGAGACACGGCCCAGACUCCUACGGGAGGCAGCAGUGGGGAAUUUUGGACAAUGGGGGCAACCCUGAUCCAGCAAUGCCGCGUGUGUGAAGAAGGCCUUCGGGUUGUAAAGUACUUUUGUCCGGAAAGAAAUCGCGCUGGUUAAUACCUGGCGUGGAUGACGGUACCGAAAGAAUAAGCACCGGCUAACUACGUG
rnacentral:rRNA from 1 species